AGAAGAUCUGGCCCUUCCCAUCUAGGCCCAGGCCGGUGUCCGUGCACCUUCAGGCCGGACGUGCUCUGGACGUCCCCCAGCCCGGGUUUCCCACCUUCGGUGUGGCUGUCUCUCACUGGGAAUGCGGGGGAUGUCACUGGGUCUAUGGGGCUGGGCCUGAGAGUUUGAACUUCUGAAGCCUCUGCAGGUUCCCAGGGAAGCCUGGUGCUGGACCCCGUGACGUUUUACAGCCCAGGGUACUGAAGCUCACAGUGGGAAGGGACUGGCUCCAGGUCGCUUGGGUGGCUUCUGUGCCUCUGAACUCCCCUCACUCUCAGCCCCACACGUCUCCACCGCCCUGACGUCAACCCCACAGGCUGCGGAUCACUCACAGAGUGCGGUCAGUGACAAACAUGAAGCCGCGUAUGAAGCAUACUCAGGCCAGCUGAUUUUCUAGCUGCAAAUUGGCAGGAGAGAAGGCCUGAUGCACACUCCUGGCUGAUAGCUGUGUGUAAACAAAACAACCCGCCCCC
rnacentral:lncRNA from 1 species